rnacentral:tRNA from 1 species
CAUGGCCGGGUGGUAAAGGCAGUGGACUUCGGCUCCACUGGCAUGAAGCACCUCUUGGGUUUGAGCCCCAAUG